CUCCUCCUCCUCCUCGGUCUGCGGGACCGGCGGCGGCGGUAGCUCCAGCUGCAGCGUGGCGGGGCUGAGCGGCGGGACCCGGCGGGGGCGCACCAGGAUCCUUGCAAAUCCUGUUCCCUGUGCUAAGACCGCACCAAUUUCCUCCACUAUUCAGCUAAGUUUUUACAGCAGCACCAGAAUGACAGAAGAUCUGUAUUGGGUUCUGCGUUGGAUAGUUACUGCCUCUUCACCUCACUUGUCUUCACUAUCAACUUCCAUAACCAGUGAAAAAUAAUGAAAUAAUGGCGAUCAACCCUCUUCUGCUCUUGGCAUCUCAGCUUUUCCCAAGCCUUAACUCUGCACCUCAACUGUGGAUGCAAAUUGGAAGGCUAAGGCAAUAGUCCCAUUGUCGUUUGGACCACAAUGGAGCCAAGAAGGUGAAGAGAAGUGAGUGGGUACUAAUAUCUGUGUCCUUGAGUCUUACAAAGUUCUUUGUAAAAAGAGCACCCAGAGAUAAAAUUCAUUGAUUUUAUUUUAGAAACAGGGACUAGAUCACCACUGUCCCCUCUUCUUAAAAUUUGAACUUAUUUUUGGCAUGGUAAUUGAGAACAUUGAAAAAUUAUUAUUAAUCUAGCUAAGCUAAUUAUGCUAUAUUCAUAUGGCUAAGCCAUGGAUUUUUAAUGAGUACUAUAAGUAAGAUUACUAUAAAUUCCUUCUUAAGAAUGAGGUGCCUAAGGCUCAAAAAUUAAGGAGGCAGGAUGCUCAGGAUUCUGCAAGUACAUGGGUGUCACCUGGGUGAGAAUGUCUCCUUAAAUUUAGAACCCUUGCGCCAGGUUUGCUUCACGCUAGUCCUGACACUAAGUGUCAUAAUGGAAUAUAUAUUCAACAAAGAGCUUAUUGUAAACCAGGCUGAGACAGCAACUAAUAAAAAUAAAAGGAUAUUUGCAAUCAUUAUUUUAAGUGAACUACACAUCAACACUUUUCUAAGGCAAAGAAGGAAAUAGAGUCAUUUUCCAGAUAACUUCAUUUAUAUAGAUGGUAAACCCAGAAAAUGGAGGUUCCAAGCCUCUGAUCUAAUACAAUUUAUUUCUAGACAUAAAUAUUUGGUUUAUAUAUUUAUUUCUUGUGAAAUUUAAAGUCAGGAAAUGUUUAAAUUAAGCAAAGGGAGUCUAGUCAUUAUAAGUGAGAGACACAGGCUUGUGCCAGUGGUUGGACAUUCGCAUGCUUUCAAGGGCCAAGCAGUCCUAUAAAUCAGCCCUGCAGGCUAGAGAGGGAUUAUAGAGAACUGCAGAAGUCAUGCCUAGCCUAAUGACACUGAACUUCAAAGUUUGAAUACUGUGCUGGAAAACAAAAUAGUUCUAGUGAUCUCAGAUUUUGCUUUCCAUGUCUACUCUUUCAAAACCUGCCUAUAAGAUAUAUUAUUAAAUGUUUGUAUGUUUUCUUAAUUCAGCCUCUCCUCCUCCACCUACACACAUCAACCACAAAACAGCAAUAAAAGCAAAAACAAUAAAAACUCAGCCUUGCACCAGAGAACCUGAAAUGAUCCUAAUUUGUGGCUUUUCUCCUGAAAGAUGGAAGAUAGGAAGGUGUUAUUGACAACUUAAUGUGGUUUUUUCUUUUUCUUUUUUUUUUCUUUUUAUUAUUAUUAUUAUUAUACUUUAGGCUCUAUGGUACAUGUGCGCAACGUGCAGGUAAGUUACAUAUGUAUACAUGUGCCAUGCUGGUGCGCUGCACCCACCAACUCGUCAUCUAGCAUUAGGUAUAUCUCCCAAUGCUAUCCUUCCCCCCUCCCCCCACCCCACAACAGUCCCCAGAGUGUGAUGUUCCCCUUCCUGUGUCCAUGUGUUCUCAUUGUUCAAUUCCCACCUAUGAGUGAGAAUAUGCAGUGUUUGGUUUUUUGUUCUUGCGAUAGUUUACUGAGAAUGAUGAUUUCCAAUUUCAUCCAUGUCCCUACAAAGGACGUGAACUCAUCAUUUUUUAUGGCUGCAUAGUAUUCCAUGGUGUAUAUGUGCCACAUUUUCUUAAUCCAGUCUGUCAUUGUUGGACAUUUGGGUUGGUUCCAAGUCUUUGCUAUUGUGAAUAAUGCCGCAAUAAACAUACGUGUGCAUGUGUCUUUAUAGCAGCAUGAUUUAUAGUCCUUUGGGUAUAUACCCAGUAAUGGGAUGGCUGGGUCGAAUGGAAUUUCUAGAUCUAGAUCCCUGAGGAAUCCCCACACUGACUUCCACAAGGGUUGAACUAGUUUACAGUCCCACCAACAGUGUAAAAGUGUUCCUAUUUCUCCACAUCCUCUCCAGCACCUGUUGUUUCCUGACUUUUUAAUGAUUGCCAUUCUAACUGGUGUGAGAUGGUAUCUCAUUGUGGUUUUGAUUUGCAUUUCUCUGAUGGCCAGUGAUGGUGAGCAUUUUUUCAUGUGUUUUUUGGCUGCAUAAAUGUCUUCUUUUGAGAAGUGUCUGUUCAUGUCCUUCGCCCACUUUUUGAUGGGGUUGUUUGUUUUUUUCUUGUAAAUUUGUUGGAGUUCAUUGUAGAUUCUGGAUAUUAGCCCUUUGUCAGAUGAGUAGGUUGCGAAAAUUUUCUCCCAUUUUGUAGGUUGCCUGUUCACUCUGAUGGUAGUUUCCUUUGCUGUGCAGAAGCUCUUUAGUUUAAUGAGAUCCCAUUUGUCAAUUUUGGCUUUUGUUGCCAUUGCUUUUGGUGUUUUAGACAUGAAGUCCUUGCCCAUGCCUAUGUCCUGAAUGGUAUUGCCUAGGUUUUCUUCUAGGGUUUUUAUGGUUUUAGGUCUAACAUUUAAGUCUUUAAUCCAUCUUGAAUUGAUUUUUGUAUAAGGUGUAAGGAAGGGAUCCAGUUUCAGCUUUCUACAUAUGGCUAGCCAGUUUUCCCAGCACCAUUUAUUAAAUAGGGAAUCCUUUCCCCAUUUCUUGUUUUUGUCAGGUUUGUCAAAGAUCAGAUAGUUGUAGAUAUGUGGCAUUAUUUCUGACGGCUCUGUUCUGUUCCAUUGAUCUAUAUCUCUGUUUUGGUACCAGUACCAUGCUGUUUUGGUUACUGUAGCCAGUCACCCAAAAGGGCCUUGAAGGAAUGAGAAAAAUCUGUAGUUACGUGGGUGUGAGGACAGGUAAAGUCCAGAGGCAGGCCCUAAUGGGGUGCCACCAGAGUGUCAUUAAGGACUAGAACAGCAAGAGGAUAAGGCCAAUGGCUAACUGAAAGGAAUUGUUUGGAAAAACAGAAAGGAAGACCAAGGAAGAAACAUUUAUUUGGUUCCUUAAAUAGUCUUUAUUCUUUUUUCUAGAACUGGUUCAAUGCAUGCAGCCUUACUGUCAAGAAUUUGUUUUCUUAUUUCUGCAGUAACUAUUUUUUCGUCAGAAUAAUUUGUCUGAAACAAUACUAGCAUGUCGCCACACCUAACAUAAUUUUUGUAACUAAUUAAUUCCAUUGCUUACUGGAGCACAGUCAGCCUUGAUGUAGUCAUAACAUUGUCUACAGGAAUUCCGGGCAUGGAUAUUGUAGAUAUUUCUGUUUUUAAAUGAAUUGGUGAUUAAAACAUAAAAAUAACCACACAUUUUUUUUUGUGCAAAACAAAACCUUUAAUUGCUUUGUGUCAAAAUCCAUCACAAGAAACAAGAUGGCAGUGAGCACCAAUAAAAUGAUUAUUUCUGCCAUGGGCCCUUUUACUCAGUGGAAGAAGUGUGUUUCAGGGAGGAUGCAUUGAAAAGGCUUAAUGCAAACAUUUGAACAUUUUGAAAGGGUUACUCAGAAAUCAAACCACAAUAUCUUUCAUUCCACCACCACUACCCUACAUGCAGCAUUUGGUAGCUUUAAAUUCCUAAUCUUCAGAGAUCAUCAAAGAUUGGAUCCCAUAAACUUCCUUCAGUAGCUCUUCUGAGCAUUAAUGCUCAGGCUGUGACUACAUGUAGCUAAAUCCAAUAGAAAACUCAUAUUUAUUCAGGAAAUAAACCACUGUACAUAGCCAUGAAUGCCAGUAUCUCAUUUUAAAAUGUUCACUCUUAAAGUACUUGCAUCUUGAUAUCAAAAUUGUUAUCUUAUGAGAAUGACUAGCGUUGUUCCUAUAUGAGAACAAGUACUGACUAUCCUGUCACUUACUAUGACUCAACCGUCCCAUUGAAAACUUCAUUCCUCAUUGGUUCCCUGGAGGCCAGAAUUUCAAAUAGCCUUUAUAACAUUUACUAAGAAGUGAGAAUUUCAGCACAUUCUGCAUCAUGCAAUAGAACUUCAUUUGAACCAUUCUUCAAUGUAAAUAUCAUGUGCUAUUUUUUUCUCAAAGUAUUUUCUGAUUCCAGUUUUUCCCAAAUUUCAGUAAUUUAUUCAUCCUUUUUUCAAAAAUAUCUUUCCAAAUUUGUAAUUUAUAAGGAAUUCAGCUUAAUUUAUUGCAUGUUAGUGCUGAAAUUGAGGCACUCAUGUGUGUGUGCAUGUUUAUCAGAGAUGUGACUGCCUACUUUAAGUGCUUAAAUUUAUUUGACCUCAAUAUGCCCAGCUGGUAAAAUAACUAGAAUGAAAGAUGAGAGAUAUUUGUGGAUUUUUAAUUUCAUUUCUUAGAGUUAAUAAAUAUGUGACUUUGUUUUUGUUUUGUUGAAUUGCUUAUGUUUUUGGUUUCACUAGCAGAAUUAGAGUUACUUUCUUACACACUUUUAUAUUUACAGGAAGUUAAAAUUAAACUACAUUAAUUAUUUUAAUUUAUUCAUUAAGCUGAAAUUCACUGCACAUUUUUUCCUUUUGUUUUGCAUUUUGUAAAUCACAUGAAUGUUUUAAUUUUUUAUCUGGUCAAUUUUAAUUUCCCUUGUGUUUUCUUCUACAGCUUUGAAGUUUAGAAUGUCAUGUUCUUGCAUAUGUUGGAUAAACAUUAAUGUGUUUCAUCUAUUUUUAUGUUAAUUAAUAAUUUGAAAUUUAUUUUGGAAUAUGGCAUAAUGUAAAGGUAUAAAUAUAUUUCUUCAUAAAUUGCUAAUUAAUAAUUUCAACAUUAUUUACUGAAUUAUUCAUCUCUUUUCCUUUAAUUUCAAAAACUUCCUGUUAUGCUUUAAAUGUAUCACCCAUAAAGGAUGUGUUGGAAACUGAAUCCUCAAUACAGCAGUAUUGGGAGGUGGGACCUAAAGAGAGCUGACUUGGUUUAUGAGCGGUCUGCCCUCCUGAAUGGAUUCAUGUGGAUUCAUGCUGUUAUCCAGGGAGUGUUUUUCUUACUGCAGGAGUGGGUUUGUUGGAGCAAGUGUGCCCUCACCUCCACACACAUACGUGUGAUAUUUUCCUCUCUUGCUUUCUGCCAUGAGAUGACACAGCAAGAAGGCCCUCACAAGAUGCCACCCUCUUGAUCUUGGACUUCCUAUUCUCCAGAAUCGUGAGAAAUAAAUUUAUGUUUAUAAGUUACUCAGUCUGAGAUUCUGCUGUAGCAGUUCAAAAUGGACUAAGAUAAUUCUCUCAUAAAUAUUAAAUAUAUGUAACAAGGUUACAUACAGCUUUCCCUGUGUUUUUGCCAUGAUUAGAUGCCUGUUAGCUUUAUGUUCCCUGCAACACACUGUACCUAGUUCCCUGUUCAUCAGUGGUGCUGGUGAUCACCCCAUUUGUUGUUUCAGUUACUCACCCACCUUUAGUAAAAUAGGAUAGUUUCAAGAAGAAAAUAAUUUUUAAAUUGAAAAAUCUGUUACUAUUAUGUGCUGAGUGAUCUAAUAAAUGUGAUUACAGCAGAUAGCCAGAAAGACCAAAUUCAUUCUCUUGCCACUUACCUAGUGCAGAGCAUUGAACCAGUAUCAAGUUCAUGAGCAGGAAGAAGAAGAAAGGCCAAUUGGUUUGGGAGAUUAUUACAGGGGCAUAUUUCUAAGAAGAAAAUAAUCAGAAAAAAGCUACCAGAGGAAACACAUUUAUGUGGGUACUUUAAGUAUGAGAAGGUGUUGGCAAAUUGAAUAAGGGUAUGUAGUGAAAAUUAAACAACAAAAAAUGCAUGAAAUAAGAAAAUGCACAUUAAAAAAUGCUUAUAUAAUAGCCCUCAUUGAAAAAAAUAUAGUGCUGUCAAGUUACUGGAAUGUGUGAGGAAAAUAUAUGAUAUCCCUCACUGGAAAAUAAUAAAUAGCUAUGAACUUACCAGAAUGUGUGAGGAAUUCCUCACAGAUAGAAAAUAAAUGUGAUCAGAACAACAGAGAACAAGCAAAAAAGGAAACCAAUCAUAGGUCUAAAAAUGCACAGAACACUGCUAGGGAGGUGGGAGUAGUUGCAGCAGCAAUUGGAGGGAGACUGAGGACAAUUGUCAGGAUUACAGACUCAAGAGUAGCUGGGCAGAUUGGCCUCACUCCCUAUGCUGGACAGCUGGUGGAAACAGUGUUUGUUACUAGGCACAAGCAAUGUCUGGAAAUAGAAACAGAACAAUGUUUUAAAUAGCUACUGACUUCCAGGAUCCACAGCAUCCACAGCAUCUGUGGACAGGUGAACAGCAAUCCUCCAAUAAAAUAAUGAGCAGUAAAUUAAGGAUCAAGAGGAAAUUAAGGACACCUGGCACCAUGAAAUAAUUCACCAUACUCAACACAAGGCAAAAUUAGUAAAAACAAAGUUAUUACAGGAAAAAAAGGAAAACAUUGGAAACUAAAAUAUAAUGAAUUACCAAUUUCCUCAGAGGAAAUUGGAUGCAUGAUGGUGGAGUGAAAGAGGGUAAAGAUAAUAGAAAAUAAAAAUACUUUGAAAGGAAAAGAAAUUUAAAAUUUGAUUAUUAGACUGAAGUAGAGAAAGAGGGAAAUCAGUAAGCAGAAAAAGAAGCCAAAUGAUUCCCCCAGAAUUAAAAGCAAAAGGAGAAUGGAAACUAUGACAAAAAAAAUAUUCGGAAGCAAUGAGGAUAGAAAAAAAAAUCAAAAGCCUUUUAAAUAGGCAUUGCAGAAAUCAGAGAGACAUGAAAGAAAGCAAAAAUCAAAUAAAAUGCAGAAAUAAUUAUCAGAGCUUAAAACAAGAAAAACCUCUUUUGAAGAAAGAUGAAUAAAAACAAGCUCAUAUCUGGUGUUAUCUCAACGAAAUUUCAAAAGGCCAAGAGCAAAUAGAAAAGUCUGAAAGGAAGACGUGAUAGGACAAAAAUUAUUACUUGUUUUUUUUUGUUUGUUUGUUUUCACCUUUCAUUUCCACCUCAUCAUUAAGGAUUUUGGCUUUGACUACUGUGGUAGGCAGAAUAAUGACCCUCCAAAGAUGUCUGCCUCCUGACCCCCAAUACUGUGAAUCAGUUUCUUCAUAAGGCAAAAGAUACUUUGUAGGUGUCAUUUAAUGUAGAAUCUUGAGGUAGGAAUACUAUGCUCAAUAAUCCAGGUGAGCCCAAUAUAAUCACAAGGAUCCUCACAAGGGAAAGGGAGAGGCAGAGAAGGGCAUAUGAUAACAGAAGCAGAGGUUGGAUAUAUGAUUGCUGGCUUUUAAUAUGGAAGAUGGUCAUGAGCCAAAGAAGUUGACUAGCCUCCUGAAGCUGGAGAAGACAAGGAACCAAUACUUUCCUAGAGCCUCCAAAGGAUUGCAGCCCUGCUAAUUUAUUUGUUUUAGCCCAGUUAGACUUCUGUCCUCCAGAACUGUAAAACAAUAAAUGCAUGUUGUUUAAGCCACUAGGUUUAGGGAAACUUUUUAUAGCAACGAUAGGAUAUUAACACAAAAUCUCAAUGUCUACCUUUCCUCUGUUCUCACAGAGCUUGCUUUCUGCCUUUGAAGAUUAUCUGUUGGGCUUCCAUGAUAAACAGUCAAGAAAAGUGGAGGGAGAGUAAGAAAAAGCUUGUGGGAUGCACCAAGCAAGGAAUUUGGGGAAAACUGGUGACAGCGUGUGUGAAAAGUUGCAAAAACAAGAUGCAAGAGGAAUGGAACAGAGUGAAAAAAGAUACUCUGAAGAUAAGUAGAAGGAUGCUUUCCUGUGGACAGUGAUUCAACUUGAUGUGCCCAGAGCCUAAAUAACUUCAGAUAUGGACCCCAACUAUCCCCUGCCAACUCUUCAUUUUGUAUAACAUGGAAAAUAAUCUUAAUGAGUCACAAGAAACAUAGGAUUGAAGCAAAUAAUAUCACAGAAGAAGGCUUUAUCUGUCACAAGAACGGCAGUGUCCCAGAUAGGAACAGCACCAUUAACCUGGGCUCCGCAGUGAAGACACGUGUCGUAAAACCAUACGUGAACCACAGCGGUUCUAAAUAUGAAUGUGAAUUAAACCAUUGCUGUCAUUCUUCAUUUGCUAUAAGCUAUUCCAUCUUAAACAUUUCUGGAAGAAUUUCUCACCUCAAUUUACCAACUCACUAAUUUUCACGUUGCCAAUAGCUCAUGAGAAUUUUAAUUAAAAAAUGAGCUUAGGAUAACAGAUGUAAGGCCAUGUUGUAAUCUAGUUCAAUUCAAUGUAGAUUUUGAUGAAACAUCUCAGUAUCUUGGACUUGGAUAUCUCCAUUUUUACUAAACAUUUUCAAGGACAUGUUUAAACGUGACACAAAUCCCUGGUGAACUCACAACUCUUCUGUUUAUAAUGGCAAUAAAAAUCAAGAUUAAAAAUAUAUAGCACAUAUUUAUAGCUAUACUUUGAACAUUCUCUGAAAAACAUCUUGACACUGAAUGUUGCCAGCACAUUUUGCAUGAGAUGAACAAAGUAUGUCACAGGUAACUGUUUCUGUUCCAAAUCUCUUUUCACACUGUCUCCAUCCAUGAAAAGUGGUCAUAAGGGCGUCUUUGUAAUUCAUAUACUCAAGAGCUUUAGUUUAACAUUCAUUUUACAAAUGAGAGCCUACUUAGAUUUGGGUCAGUUUUAUGUUUGGUCAUAUGAAGGCCAACUUUUGUACCACAGCAAAAGGAGAUCAGGUGGGAUUUGAACUAGGAAAUCCAAGAUGCCCUAGUUUCCAACCUUUCCUUUUAUCUAUAUGGAUGUUGCCAUUUCAUUAACUUAAAUUCUUCAUUCUGGUUUAAGCAAAGGUGAAAGUACAACUUUAGCUAAAGGGUAACUGUACUUAGUUUGGUAUAGAUUCACUUACACGAUAUGUAAAAUAUGAAAAAUGAAUACAGCAGUUAUAAUCACUUUGUUAUUGCAAAUUUUCUAUGCAACUCAGGGAAAUGCUUCAAAAGAAGGAUUCUCAAGGUAAUUUCUAUUGAAAACCUGCAAAAGUAAUUUUUCUCCUGCAUUUUUAGGUUAAAAAAUGAAUUUCAACUAAAAAUGUGCCGCACACAGGCAUUUUCUCCUUUUGAAAAAUGUACUUAAUUAUCUUUAAGAUAAGGAUAUUUUCUUUCAAAUCUGCCCCCUGAGGUUCACUCACUUAUUCCAUACCUGUCACAGAAAGGUCAGGUCUCCCUGGUGUUUGUGGAUACUUGGUCCACAAACUUAAAAUGUUUGAAAGUCAAAGAAGAGAAAGAAGAUGAAAAUAUUAUUUCUUCCUUAUGUAACAACUCUUUUCCUCUUUUUUAAAAAAUAAAUUUAUCUCAAAGUAAAGUACAGAUUAUUUUCACUUAUUAAAUGCUCAAAAUUGAAAAAAGAAUUUCCAACUGUAAAAUUAUACGUUAUUCAACAAUUCACAAGAGCACUCAAUUAACUGUGAGAAACCAAUUUAGAAUGAAUCACCCAAAAAUCGUUAUGUUGAAGAAUAAUACAAUAUUACUUAAUAAAAUUCAUUUUUACCCAUGCCAUACAAUCAUAAGUCUGGGUCAAAUUAUUCAAGAAAAUAUUGUGUAAUUGUUAUACUAUAUCACCAGAUUUUUUUUUCUAAACUGAAAAACUAAAAGCUAUUAAAAUUGGCAAGUUAUAUGUAAGAGUUGUCACUAUCUAGGAAACUUUCCUUACCCUUUGCAUCAGUCAUCUUUAUUGCCUGCUAGUUGUAGGUGUUAGAAAAUGACUCUGGCCACAUACAUAGAAAAUGAAUUUAGAAAUAUAUAACUGGGUCAAAAAAAAACAAUGAGAAGCCUAGAGAAGUAGAUUCUGAAAUCUCACUAGAAUCAGGAAGCAGAGGUUAAACAGCUCAGCACAGUAUGGUUCGAAUGCUUCUACUGUCAUUGCCAUUACUGUAUAUCUGUCAAUGUCACUCCUGUUUUCAAUUCUAACAGAGAUGCCGGAAGAAACCUAAUGCUGUUGCCUCUUUGUCUCCCACUGUCUGGAGUCGUCACCAUGGGUGAUGGCAUUUUAUUGGCUCCUUCUCUAUCUUUGUCAGUGCCCUAGCUGAGAGGAGAUGCCUGGCUUCAAAGUUCACAGUGUGGAUUUUUCUAAAUAGAAAUAGCCCUUAUGUACAAGAAAAUGUCCUUUCCAGAACAAUCUUUCUCUCUCUCUGUCUCUCUUUUUUUUUUCUUCAUAGCACACAAAUCGGUAGGUUUAGGCAUACUUAAUUUUUGGUGAAUUUAGAUGGCCACCUAGAGUGCCUAUGUGAUCUUCCUUCAUUUGUUUGUCAAAUUUGUAAUUAACUUACUGGAUUUUGGUAAAUAGGAAAAAAGAAAAAGGUAGAGAUGAAGAGUUGCUUGAUACUUAAAUCCCUUGUGUUGGUUGCUGACAGCAGUUGCCUAAUAUCAUCUCAUUCCUUUCUGGAAAGAACUUCUGGAUUUUGUUCAGGGUCUCAGCAGUCCUAUGACUAUUGCCUGAGGAACAUAGAAGGAGCGCCAGGUAUGAUCUAACAUCUGUGCCUUCUUUAUGUCAGCAUGGCAUCCAAUCAUUUAUAGGUGUUUCUUAUUUUUUUAAACAUGGGCAAUAUCUUAAUAACCAAUGGCCUUAUUUGGAGUUUCAAAGUCUUGCUUAUUUCUAUAGAUUUUACUUCUGUGGGUCCCUAACUAUCUACUUUUUUCCCAAUGUCUAUAUUCUGUAUGUAAACAAGAGAAAGAAAAGAGAGAGACAGAGAAAGAGAGAGACAGAGAGAGAGAGAGAUGAUUGUCGGGAAACGACUGGAAGAAGUCUGCCUGAGUCACUGAAAAUGAUCACAGUGAGCAUCCAUGAGGGAGUGAUCCCAAGCAAGCUGGCAGCAACCUGUUCGAACAAUUGGAAAACAUAAUGGAACAUCAAUGAGGCCAAUUCCAGCAGCUUGACAGGCUCUCUCUUUAUUCUUACUGCUCUGUUUCUUGCCUGGUGCCACUUUAUUAUGAUCUGGGAUGUUCAGCCUUUUAGAUUUCUCCAAAGAACUUAUCUCUUUUCAGUUGACAAACCAAGUUGUGCAGAGUUUAGUAAGUGUAAUCUGGCAAUUCAUGAAGACUUUCCUUAGGAAUGUGGAUUUAAAUAGUUUUGAGGCAAUGAUUUCUCAGAUCCUCAACUUUCAUGUAUACUAUUUUCUCAAGUUCAUUGCUUUAUUUUUAUUUUUUUCAGAUAAGGCCUUGCUCUGUUGCCCAGGCUGGGGUGUGGUAGUGUGACCACAGCUUACUGCAGCCUCCUGCCCCUGGGCUCAAGCAAUCUUCCCACCUCUGCCUGCUGAGUAGUUGGGAUUACAGGCACGCACCACCACCCUCAGCUAAGUUUUUAAAUUUUUGUAGGAACAAGGUCUCACUAUAUUGCCCAGGCUGGUCUCAAGCUCCUGGGCUGGUACAGUCCUCCCACCUCAGCUUCCCAAAGUGCUGAGAUUACAGGCAUGAGCCACUGCACCUGGCCUAUACAGUUAACUCUAUUUUGAAGAUUAACAUGUAACAAUAUAUAGACAUAUGCACAGUCUUUGCUGCAGCACUAAUUGUCAUAGCAAAACAUAGGAAAUAACUGAUUCUCCAGCAUUAAAAGUCUGAUUAAAUAAACCAUGGGACUCUAUAGAAAACCAAGUAGUGUUCUUUGAAGUUCUAAACAUCAAUGUGAAAUACUUCUGGAAUGAUGACCAGAAGAUAAGUUAAAACACGCACAAUGGACAAAAUGGCAUCUAAUAUGCUACCAUUCCUACAUAUGGAGAAAGGAGGAAUAUCUCAUAACUCCCUCUUACUGAAAUACUUUAUUGUUUCUCUGAUCAAUUCUUGUUUUCUAUGGCAAGUUAAUAAAUCUGUCUUUGUUUGACUACA